CCUACGGGAGGCAGCAGUAAGGAAUCUUGCGCAAUGGGCGAAAGCCUGACGCAGCGACGCCGCGUGGGCGAUGAAGGCCUUCGGGUUGUAAAGCCCUUUUCUGGGGGACGAGGAAGGACGGUACCCCAGGAAUAAGUCACGGCUAACUACGUGCCAGCAGCCGCGGUAAAACGUAGGAGGCGAGCGUUAUCCGGAUUUACUGGGCGUAAAGCGCACGCAGGCGGUUUCGUUAGUCGGACGUGAAAGCUCCUGGCUUAACUGGGAGAGGUGGUUCGAUACUGCGGAACUUGAGGUUGGGAGAGGGGUGUGGAAUUCCCGGUGUAGUGGUGGAAUGCGUAGAGAUCGGGAGGAACACCAGUGGCGAAGGCGGCUCUCUGGCUCACUCCUGACGCUGAGUGCGCGAAAGCGUGGGGAGCAAACGGGAUUAGAUCCCCCUGUAGU
rnacentral:rRNA from 1 species